GAAGCUUGCUUCUUGGGUGGCGAGUGGCGAACGGGUGAGUAAUAUAUCGGAACGUACCGAGUAAUGGGGGAUAACUAAUCGAAAGAUUAGCUAAUACCGCAUAUUCUCUGAGGAGGAAAGCAGGGGACCUUCGGGCCUUGCGUUAUUCGAGCGGCCGAUAUCUGAUUAGCUAGUUGGUGGGGUAAAGGCCUACCAAGGCGACGAUCAGUAGCGGGUCUGAGAGGAUGAUCCGCCACACUGGGACUGAGACACGGCCCAGACUCCUACGGGAGGCAGCAGUGGGGAAUUUUGGACAAUGGGCGCAAGCCUGAUCCAGCCAUGCCGCGUGCCUGAAGAAGGCCUUCGGGUUGUAAAGGACUUUUGUCAGGAAGAAAAGGCUGUUGCUAAUACCGACAGCUGAUGACGGUACCUGAAGAAUAAGCACCGGCUAACUACGUGCCAGCAGCCGCGGUAAUACGUAGGGUGCGAGCGUUAAUCGGAAUUACUGGGCGUAAAGCGAGCGCAGACGGUUACUUAAGCAGGAUGUGAAAUCCCCGGGCUCAACCUGGGAACUGCGUUCUGAACUGGGUGACUAGAGUGUGUCAGAGGGAGGUAGAAUUCCACGUGUAGCAGUGAAAUGCGUAGAGAUGUGGAGGAAUACCGAUGGCGAAGGCAGCCUCCUGGGAUAACACUGACGUUCAUGCUCGAAAGCGUGGGUA
rnacentral:rRNA from 1 species